rnacentral:rRNA from 1 species
GUGGGGAAUAUUGCGCAAUGGGCGAAAGCCUGACGCAGCGACGCCGCGUGAGGGAUGAAGGUUUUCGGAUCGUAAACCUCUGUCAGAAGGGAAGAAACUACGUUGUGCUAAUCAGCAGCGUACUGACGGUACCUUCAAAGGAAGCACCGGCUAACUCCGUGCCAGCAGCCGCGGUAAUACGGAGGGUGCAAGCGUUAAUCGGAAUUACUGGGCGUAAAGCGCACGUAGGCUGUAGUGUAAGUCAGGGGUGAAAUCCCACGGCUCAACCGUGGAACUGCCUUUGAUACUGCACAACUUGAAUCCGGGAGAGGGUGGCGGAAUUCCAGGUGUAGGAGUGAAAUCCGUAGAUAUCUGGAGGAACAUCAGUGGCGAAGGCGGCCACCUGGACCGGUAUUGACGCUGAGGCGCGAAAGCGUGGGGAGCAAACAGGAUUAGAUACCCGGGUAGUCC